rnacentral:tRNA from 1 species
GGAGGUUUAGUUCAAUUGGUCAGAGCACCGCCCUGUCAAGGCGGAAGCUGCGGGUUCGAGCCCCGUCAGCAUACG